UACGUAGGGUGCAAGCGUUGUCCGGAAUUAUUGGGCGUAAAGAGCUCGUAGGCGGUUUGUCGCGUCUGCUGUGAAAACUCGGGGCUUAACCCCGGGCCUGCAGUGGGUACGGGCAGACUAGAGUGCGGUAGGGGAGACUGGAAUUCCUGGUGUAGCGGUGAAAUGCGCAGAUAUCAGGAGAAACACCGGUGGCGAAGGCGGGUCUCUGGGCCGUAACUGACGCUGAGGAGCGAAAGCGUGGGGAGCGAACAGG
rnacentral:rRNA from 1 species